CCUACGGGGGGCAGCAGUGAGGAAUAUUGGUCAAUGGGCGCGAGCCUGAACCAGCCAAGUAGCGUGAAGGAUGACUGCCCUACGUGUUGUAAACUUCUUUUAUAAGGGAAUAAAGUGUGGCACGUGUGCCCUUAUGUAUGUACCUUAUGAAUAAGCAUCGGCUAACUCCGUGCCAGCAGCCGCGGUAAUACGGAGGAUCCGAGCGUUAUCCGGAUUUAUUGGGUUUAAAGGGUGCGUAGGCGGAAUAUCAAGUCAGCGGUAAAAACUCGGGGCUCAACCCCGUCCUGCCGUUGAAACUGGUGUUCUUGAGUGGGCGAGAAGUAUGCGGAAUGCGUGGUGUAGCGGUGAAAUGCAUAGAUAUCACGCAGAACUCCGAUUGCGAAGGCAGCAUACCGGCGCCCAACUGACGCUGAGGCACGAAAGCGUGGGUAUCGAACAGGAUUAGAUACCCCGGUAGUC
rnacentral:rRNA from 1 species